AUGAAUGCAAGUUUAAAAAAGGGUUGUUCUUUUACUUGGCAAAGCAUUAUGGCGGGAGUUAAUUCUCUCAAAAAUGGUUAUAUUUGGAGAGUUGGAAAUGGACUAAAUAUUGAUAUUUGGAAAGAUGCAUGGAUCCCGAACUGUGCAAAUAGGAAAAUUAUUACUCCUACAAGAGGGCACCUGCUAUCAAAAGUUGCUGACCUUAUCAAUCCGGUCACCAAUUCUUGA
rnacentral:rRNA from 1 species